GGUCAAUGAUGAGCAGUAAAAGGUCUGAUUACCCAGAAUCCUCUCCUCCGCUCCCUCUGGCUCCCAGCAGCCCUGCUCUCAGCUCCCAGCAUGCUCUAGCAGUGCAGCGCUGGUCCCAGCAGCUGCUGACACACAGGAUGUGACAUCACAGCUCUGAGUCUGUACUCAGAUCCUAUUGGCUCAGUGUGAUGCUGAGUGACAUCCGACAGAACCAAUCAGAAAGGAGCAUCGGGGGGGAAGCAGGAGGAGAGGGGGGGCUGAUCUCAAGUUUUCAAGCUGAGACC